rnacentral:rRNA from 1 species
GAUGAACGCUGGCGGCGUGCUUAACACAUGCAAGUCGAACGGAGACAUAUUUUGAAGUUUUCGGAUGGAAAGAUAUGUUCUUAGUGGCGGACGGGUGAGUAAUGUAUGAGCAAUUUGCCUUUAGGAGGGGGAUAACAGUCGGAAACGGCUGCUAAUACCGCAUAAUGCAUCAAUUUCGCAUGUUAUUGAUGCCAAAGGAGCAAUCCGCCUUUAGAUGAGCUCGCGUCUGAUUAGCUAGUUGGCGGGGUAACGGCCCACCAAGGCGACGAUCAGUAGCCGGACUGAGAGGUUGAACGGCCACAUUGGGACUGAGACACGGCCCAG